GGCCAUUUUGGCUCCUCCCUCAGGUCUCUGCUUGGAUGUUACUUCCUCUUGCAUCAAUACCUCAAGACUUCAAAUACCUGACAUGGUUAUUACAACAUAGGAGAUACUUAGCAAAUUAUUUGCUGAACAAAUGAAUGACUGAAUAUAUGAUUGUUAUUUUAAAAGGAUACUUUGUGUAUAAAGCUGCUUUGAUGAUGUAGAUAUAAAUUACGUUUGAAUGUGCAAAACUGAAAUUCUAUCUAUUAGAUGGUUAUAAAAUUUGCUAUUAUUUUAGCCAUUAUUUUCUUCCAGAAACAUGUUGCAUUGUGGUAAACAUAUUUAUAUACAGUACUAAUUAACAAUCAAAUACGUGACACUUCCUUUGCAUUGCUCCUUUUUCGACGAGGCUUUUUAUUGAGAAUGAAGUUGUCUAAAUUCAAAAAGCUUACCUUACAUAUCAUGACUUAAGAUCAUCUGACUGUGAACUUAAAAGCAAUAUAAUUUGAAACAUUAGCUCAACUAUUGCUUUAGACUUUAUUCAUCUAACCCUGCAGUCAUGGAUGUCAUUAAUUCAAUGAGUAGAAAUCUAUUGUACAACAAAAUUUACAGAGAAUAAAUGGGUUAUUCAUUCAAUUUGUCAAAAAUACUAUCUCUUGGCUGGGUGCCAUGACUCACACCUUUAAUACCAGCACUUCAGGAGGCUGAAAUGGGAGAUCACUUGAGGCCAAGAGUUUGAGACUAGCCUGGGCAGCAUAGGAAGACCCUCACUUCCACCAAAAAAAUAAUAGCCAGGCAUGGUGGUGCAUACCUAUAGUCCUAGCUGCUUGGGAGGUGGAGGCAGGGGCAUCACUUGAGCCUAGGAGUUCAAGGCUGCCGUGAGCUAUGACCCCUUCACUCCAGCCUGGGCAACAGUGGGAGACCCCAUCUCUUUAAAAAAUACCUUCUCUUCAUACUUAGAAUGGAAUACAAAAAAGAGAAAUAGUAAAACCAAAUGGAAUAUUGUUCUUUCCUUUCUUAAGCCUUUUAUUUCUCUAUCUUAGAAUGUAUAAAGUUCUCAUGCUGAAGUCUCAGAAGUACAAAAGUCUUAAUCUUGCAAUCACAUUACAUGAUAUUUAAAUGGUGACGUUCCUCUGCAUUGAGUCAUAGACAUUAUUCCUUCUCAUUUUCCUUACACACUGUUGAUACUUCUCAAAUUUCUAUUAUUUUUUUAAUUUUUUAAUUUUUUAUUAUUAUUAUACUUUAAGUUUUAGGGCACAUGUGCACAAUGUGCAGGUUAGUUACAUAUGUAUACAUGUGCCAUGCUGGUGUGCUGCACCCAUUAACUCCUCAUUUAGCAUUAGGUAUAUCUCCUAAUGCUAUCCCUCCCCCCUCCCCC
rnacentral:lncRNA from 1 species